rnacentral:rRNA from 1 species
UUGAUCCUGGCUCAGGAUGAACGCUAGCGGCAGGCUUAACACAUGCAAGUCGAGGGGUAUAUUUCUUCGGAGAUAGAGACCGGCGCACGGGUGCGUAACGCGUAUGCAAUCUACCUUUUACAGGGGGAUAGCCCAGAGAAAUUUGGAUUAAUACCCCAUAGUAUAUAUGAAUGGCAUCAUUUAUAUAUUAAAGUCACAACGGUAAAAGAUGAGCAUGCGUCCCAUUAGCUAGAUGGUAAGGUAACGGCUUACCAUGGCAACGAUGGGUAGGGGUCCUGAGAGGGAGAUCCCCCACACUGGUACUGAGACACGGACCAGACUCCUACGGGAGGCAGCAGUGAGGAAUAUUGGACAAUGGGCGCAAGCCUGAUCCAGCCAUGCCGCGUGCAGGAUGACGGUCCUAUGGAUUGUAAACUGCUUUUAUACGAGAAGAAACACUCCUUCGUGAAGGAAUUUGACGGUAUCGUAAGAAUAAGGA